AAUAUUAGCUCAUAUGUAGUCAUUUGUGUAUACUUGCAUUCUAUCAAGCAUAGAGAUAAAAUAUAUUUUGAGAGAGAGUUAUUGUGGGAGAAAAGAGGAAGGAGGUGCCUCCACAUAGAGGAGAAGGAGAGGGAGUCUUUCAUGUCAUCUAGCUUCAUCAUAUACCAUGGAAGAAGAAGGAAAGUAGCCAUUAAAAGCAACAAGUAAGAAAAACAAACCUUAAAAUCCUAAUCUUGUUUUUUUCUUUCAAGUUUAUGAUAGGAAUGUUAUGUUGAAUUUCUAAAUGGCUAGAUUCUUGCUAAACAUGUUUAUAUAGGUUAACAUAUAUUUAACUUGUGUAUUAGUGAUUAUGUCAAAAAUUUUGAAAGAAAGCUCAAAAAUAUUUUUGCCGGAAAACUAAAAUUUAACAGCCCGCUCCUGGAGUUACUGUUCACGUUCUAUAAGUCGGAUUCAUGAUCCGUCAAAUUUGGGUGAUAGAGCUAUUCGAUACAAAGAUUCUCCAAGUGGAACGACUAAAAUCGAUUUCAAACGACUGGGUUAUGAUUUUUCUAACAAAAGACCCCGCUGUCAGAAAACACCCACUGACAGUCGGUUGUUUGGUCAUUUUCAGUGGCCUAAACAUGUCCAAAUAAACGAUCUGAUGAUCGGAUAUUGUAUUUUAAGAAGAUACGAAGAGAACAAGACGGACUAGAGGUUAAAUGGAGUUGUAGAACUCAGGAUAUGCAAGUUUCCCUCGGGACCCCAAAGUUGCCUAAUAAAUUCGCGAAUUAACAAAGCUUAAAUCCAAUUAAAUCAUUAAAAAUCAUAGUUAAUUAAUUUUUAAUGCAUGUUAAUGGAUGAUUAAACUAAUUAAAUAUAGUUUAAGUAUAUUUAAUCAUUUAUUUAUUAAUUAAGUAACAUUAAGUAAUAAUUAAAUAGAGUUAGUAUGGUUAAUUUACCUAUUGGUAAUUUAAUUACGAUUAAAUGAUAAAUAGAGUUAAUUAAUUAUUAUUUAAUUAAAAUUAAAUAAUGAUUACAGAGUAUUUAAGUUAAUAAAUUAAUUAUUUAUUAUUUAAGUAAGAUUAAGUAAUAAAUAAUGAGUAUUACUCAAUUAGAUGUUAUUUAAUUAACAUAAACUUUAAUAAAUUAAGUAAUUAUUAUUUAAUAAUAUUAAAUAAUAAUUAAAGGCAAAUAUAGUUAAUAAAUUAAUUAUUUAUUAUUUAAUUAAUAUUAAAUAAUAAAUAAGGAUUAAUUAAUUAUUAUUUAAUUAAUAUUAAAUAAUAAUUAAAUAAAAAUAAAAUGAUAGUAAUUAUUUAUUAUUUAAUUAAUAAUAAAUAAUAAAUAAGGAUAAAUAAAUAAAUAAUUAUAAUUUAAUUAAUAUUAGAUAAUAAUUAAAGACAAAUACACUAAUAAAUUGAUUAUUUAUUAUUUAAUUAAUAUUAAAUAAUAAAUAGGUGUAAUUAAUUAUUAUUUAAUUAAUAUUAAAUAAUAAUUAAAGCUAAAUAAGAUUAAUAAUUUAAUUAUUUAUUAUUUAAUUAACUUUAAAUAAUAAAUAAACAUAAUUAGUUAUUAUUUAUUAGUAAAUAUUAACUAAAGGUAAUUAAUUAAUUACUAUUUGAUUAAUAUUAAAUAGUAAUUAAAUGAAGAUAGAGUUAAUAAGAUAAAAAUAAUUUAAUUAAAUAAUUAUAACAAAUUAUUUAAGGGUUUAAUAAGUGUUUAACACUUAAAAAAAUACUCUUAAUUAAUUAAAUCACUAACAUAAGAUCAAUUAAUUGUCUUAUAGGGUUAUUGAUAGUAUAUCGAUCAAUGUGAAUUAUGUGGUAGACUUAUUUGUUAGACAAGUUCUUAGUAAACGUAUAGACGUACAAGUAUACGCAAUACUAAUUGAUAGAUCGACUUUAUUAAUGAUUAGGUCUUUUAACGCAAGUCAUUUAAUGCUAGAUUUGUGUAGCUCGUCAGACAAGCAAGUUUCUUAACUCAAAUUUGAGUUAUUAUUUUCAUAGCAUGUUAGUGGAUAAUCAUUGUUGAUUAUUCCACAUCCGUAAUGAUUAUUGAUAUUCGCAUUUUGUGCAAUUGAAUUCAUGUUCUUUAAUUAUUGAACUGUGAAUUAAUUAAAGUUCUUUUAUUAAUGAACUGUUUAUGGGCUAGAUCUAUGCUAAUUGUAUCAGCUAAAUCGAACAUGUUUAAAUUUGUUAAAUCAAAUAUGUUUUAAAAGCUGUUCCUAACCAAUUGAUUUGAUAAGGACUCAUGACUGAGAAAAAGAAUAAUUUUACUAAAGCAUUAUAUUGUAAAGGUUUAAGCAUAUAUCACCGGGUAUGAAAGGUUGAUCCUCUUGAAUACCAAAACUUAUGAAAAGGACCAGUUUAAAUACUGAUAACCUUAGUAUAUGUUCAUGGUCAUUGUUGACCACUGAACUUAAUCUUUCAAUUAUUGAAGACUUGAAUUUUCAUUCUUUCACAAACAAACGUUAUUGUUGAACAUUGAGAGUCAAAUACCUUUCUAAUCAUGAUAUAUCUCCUUUGUUUUUAAACUUGCUAAUCAAAUUAGUUGCUUACCCUUGCUAUAUCAUGACGUUUAUUUUAGCUAAGUCGAAAAGUUCCAAGAAGGAUAAAGGUUAAGGCAAAUUUCAAGAAUAGAUAUAUGUGAACGUUUAAUUAUCAUAGUAUCUGAUGUAAUUAUUUAUGUAAACAUUUUGUAAUAUUAAUGGAAUGUAAUAAGUUAUGGUUAAUAGACCUUGGGAGUUAGGUAAGACUUUAUUAUAAUGAACAAUGUAUGUUUAUUAUUCUGCAAUAAUUUAUAGAAUGUUUAUGUUGUUGAUGGAUCGUGAACACCAAACCUGAUGUUAGAGAACUAGGAUUUAGGGGCGUAAUAAGUCUUCUGCCAGAUAUCAGUAGACGAAAUUAUAUUAUUGGAGAGUACUCCCUUUCUGUAGAGACAAAAACUAGGGCUUAGCCAUAUACCCUUCUUCUUCCUUGGUGGAUCACCUCUAGAGGCCAAACGCUUGGGUGGCUAACGUUGAUCAAAGGAAGGAAUUAAACCCGCAUAUUCAAGGAGAGCACAAAGGACUAGGAGUUGAACUUGUACUUAAGGAAGCUCGAAUCUUCAAGGGUAUGAUUCUUAUUCUCCUUCUUCUUCUGUUAAUUUAUAAUAUAGCACAAAGCAUUAUCAUGGGUAUGGGUUUGUAUAAAAUUUUAAAUCCCCAUUUCUUCG
rnacentral:lncRNA from 1 species